GCCGAGCUCAGAAACGUGAGCUUGUAACUCAAGUGAGGGCAUUAAAGUGAUUGGACUUUGGGCUUUGGCUAACCUGGUUGGGCUUGUGGUGCACGUACUGACUCGCCCGUUCCAAGUUGGGAGUUGGGCCAUGUGUCACGGGCUAAGGCCUGUGAAACUUGGUUCCUAGAGAGGAGGGCACCUCGUCAGGCUGGCUUCACAGAGCAGCGAAAACCUCCCUCUCUCGACAGUGGAAGGAUAACGAGAUAGGUGCUCUUUGAGCCCAUGAAGGCCAGAUGGCCCAGCCCAAAGAACAAUCACUUUU